rnacentral:lncRNA from 1 species
GUUUGACAGAAACAUGUUGGUUUCUAUCUUCCUGAUCAUCACAGCUCUCCCCACAGCUCUGGCUAAAGGUAUUCGGGUCUACUGAGUGCCAUUUCUCAGCAUCUGCUGAAACUCUGUGUUUUGGGGAAGUGGGUCAGCCGCUCAUGUUUCAUCUAUCCAACAAAGCAAACACUUCACUUGUUUUGAUGAAGGACUACAAAUACAGAAUUCUGAGGAAAAACAACUACAAGACAAUGAAGACACAUCAGAAACACAUGAAUCAGUCUGAAACACUGAAACUAGGCAAUGCCACAAAGCAACACUCCGGAGACUAUAGCUUGGAAGUGUUUGGACCUGAUGGCAGGCUGCUGAGAAAAAUAAACGUGCAUCUAGAAAUACAAGCUCCGGUGUCAAAGCCCGCUGUGUCUCAGAUGUGUUCUUCGCCAGAACAGAUGCAGGUCAUCUGCUCCACAAUGGGAGAUAAAGUGGAGUUAAUUCUGAGUUUAGAUGGUCAAGUACUGAUACAAACCAGAGAUCAGAACCAGCUGUUAAGCAACAGAACAGCCAACAAAUCUGUUAAUUCAGUUCUCACCAUCAACAUUCAUGGACAGAUGACUGGAAAUCUCAUGUGUCAAGUUUGGAACAACG